rnacentral:rRNA from 1 species
GUCUCUUAGAAACUAUUAAGAGUCAGGCCUGCCCAGUGAUCACUUUAACGGCCGCGGUACCCUGACCGUGCAAAGGUAGCAUAAUCAUUUGCCUUUUAAUUGGAGGCUAGUAUGAAUGGUCUGACGAGAGUAAAACUGUCUCAUAUAUAUUUAAUAGAAAUUAACCUAAAGGUGCAAAGGCCUUUAUUUAAUAAAAAGACGAGAAGACCCUGUUGAGCUUUAAUCUUAAUAAGUAUUUCUUCUAUAUUUAUAAAUUUAUUUUACUUACUAAAGAUUUUAAUUGGGGCGAUUAAGGAACAAGCAUAAGCUUCCUGAAUUUAAUCAAAAAAUGUUUAUAAAUUAAGUCGAUCCAGCAAUGUUGAUCAACAAAAUGAGUUACCACAGGGAUAACAGCAUAAUUCUCUUUGAGAGCCCAUAUCGAAAGGAGAGAUUGUGACCUCGAUGUUGGACUAGGGUAACUAGAAGGUGCAGCCGCUUUCUUGUUUGGUCUGUUCGACCAGUAAUUCCCUACA